rnacentral:rRNA from 1 species
CACGUAGGGCGCGAGCGUUGUCCGGAAUUAUUGGGCGUAAAGAGCUCGUAGGCGGCCUGUUGCGUCCGCUGUGAAAAGCCCGGGGCUUAACCCCGGGUCGGCAGUGGAUACGGGCAGGCUAGAGGUAGGUAGGGGAGAAUGGAAUUCCCGGUGUAGCGGUGAAAUGCGCAGAUAUCGGGAGGAACACCGGUGGCGAAGGCGGUUCUCUGGGCCUUACCUGACGCUGAGGAGCGAAAGCGUGGGGAGCGAA